rnacentral:rRNA from 1 species
GAUGAACGCUAGCGGCAGGCUUAAUACAUGCAAGUCGUGGGGCAGCAGGACUGUAGCAAUACAGUUGCUGGCGACCGGCAAACGGGUGCGGAACACGUACGCAACUUACCCUGCACUGGGGGAUAGGCCGGGGAAACCCGGAUUAAUACCCUGUAAUAUAAUGGAGUGGCAUCACUUUAUUAUUAAUGCUUCGGCGGUUCGGGAUGGGCGUGCGGCUGAUUAGGUAGUUGGUUGAGGUAACGGCUCACCAAGCCUACGAUCAGUAACUGGUGUGAGAGCACGACCAGUCAAGCGGGCACUGAGACACGGGCACGGCGCCUCCGGGAGGCAGCAGUAAGGAAUAUUGGGCGAUGGAGGCAACUCUGACCCCGCCAUGCCGAGUGGGGGAUGAAGGCCGUCUGGGUUGUACACUUCUUUUAUAGGGGACGAAACCUGUGUAUUAUUCCGCAGUUGACGGUACCCUAGGAAUAAGCACCGGCUAACUCCGUG